UUCACCUUGUUGCCUUGGAUUGAAUUUGCCUUGACAAGCUGAGCGCAAUCCUCCAGUAAACCUUCACUAAUAUCAUCAAUUGUCUGCCCUUUGUGCAGUCGCAGAUAAACAUGAGCAGAAGACAUUUUGUCCACAUGGAACCAAAUGUCUUCAGGGAAACCGUAUUUGAUAAGCUCCUCGUUCUCGUAUUUAUCGAGACCCAUAAAAAUGGUGUAAUCUCCUACCUCUGGACGGGCUUUGAAAUAGAACACCAUUUUUUGUUUUCUUCACCUCCACCUCCGCCUCCUCUUCCUCCUCUCUCUCUCUCUCUCUCUGAUUCUUUCUCAAAAUCAAAAUUCAAAAUCUGUGUGUGCUGUUUCGUUAGGGUUUUCUCUCUUUUAAUUUUGAGAAUCGC
rnacentral:misc_RNA from 1 species